CAACAAGUCCUGUUAUGCUUUUCCACAGCUUUCUUGAACUUCUUAUGCCUAGUGCAAUUAUUGAUGUGGCAUAGAAGUUUAAGAAAAAUGUGGAAAAACAUGUCAAAUCUAGGACUU
rnacentral:pre_miRNA from 1 species